rnacentral:rRNA from 1 species
UACGGAAGGGUGCAACGUUGCUCGGAAUUAUUGGGGUACGGUAAGCGCACGUAGGCGGCUUUGUAAGUCGAUGUGAAAUCCCCGUCGGCCGUUAACCAAGGAAGUGCAUCCGAAACUACAGAGCUUGAGUACUUAAGAGGAUCGCGGAAAUUCCCGGUGUAGAGGUGAAAUUCGUAGAUAUCAGGAGGAACACCGGUGGCGAAGGCCGGGUCUCUGGGCCGAUACUGACGCUG